ACGGUAUGACGCUAUUGGCCGCACAACAAUCAUCACUUAUCUACAAUGUUUUAUAGUACAUUUCUUCCAACUGCAGAUGGCAGGAUUUGACAGUAAUGUGGGUAUUACAGUGCCAUUUAGUUUUGUACAGUACAUCUCUGUUGUGCGCCAGAGAUACACGUUAGAUGAGGUUUUGAUUUCAUUUCAUUUUUUUGUGCAGUGUAAAAACAGUAAGUAGCACUCGUGGGUGAAAGAAAGAAAAGGGUGAAGAAGAGCUGAAGAACGUUUAGUAGUAAGGAACCUAUUACUCUGACUUGGUUUCUGACUCUGUUUCAGCUCCAUCGUGAUUGUGAAGACCAACCAUAGUGACACUGAGGGGAAAUAAUGCAGGGGCAAGCUGAUGGCUCUGAGGAAUGGUUACUUGGUCCACAAACCGGGAGAAGAAAGCUGAGACUCAAGGUAAAGAAGUCCAUCAGUGUUUCCCUGGUGUUCAUUACUGUGAUACUUUUUCUCAUCCUGCUCUUAUGGUGGAUAUAUAAAGAUACCAACAUCUCAAAUCACUGCUACUCCAAAGCCGCCGUAGCAGCCGACGCUGGGAAAUGUUCUGAGAUCGGCAGGGACGUGUUAAAACGAAAUGGUUCUGCUGUGGACGCCGCCAUCACAGCGCUGCUGUGCGUCGGACUGUUUAACGCUCACAGCAUUGGCAUCGGAGGAGGACAUUUCUUCAUCAUCUAUAACGGCACUACAGGGAAAGUGGAGACAAUCACGGCGAAGGAAAUGGCUCCCCAAAACGCAUCACGUGACAUGUUCGGCAACAGCACACAACUCGCUCAAAAAGGAGGCCUGUCCAUCGCGGUCCCCAGUGAGCUCCGUGGCUAUGAACUGGCACACCGGCGUCAUGGCCGCCUGCCGUGGAAGGAGCUGUUUAAACCGAGCAUCCAGCUGGCACGUGACGGCAUCCGAGUCAGCAGAGCUCUCGCCAAAUCCAUGUGGGAUAACCAGGAGGCCAUUCAGGCUGAUCCAGCACUGUGUGAAGUAUUUUGUGAUUCCAACAAAACAGUCCUGAGGGAAAACGACACUAUCAGAUUUCCACGGCUAGCAGACACCUACGAGAGGAUCGCUGAGGAAGGAGCUGAUGUGUUUUAUAAUGGCUCCAUGGCUAAAACGAUAGUGAAUGACAUCCGGGCUGCAGGUGGCGUUAUAACACUUGAAGACCUGUCAGGGUAUACACCAGAGUUGAAUGAAAGCCCACUGAAGAUAAAUGUAGGAGAAUACACCAUGCAUUUUCCAGAUGCUCCAUCUGGUGGUCCUGUGCUAGCGCUAAUCCUCAACAUUGUGAACGGUUAUAAUUUCUCACACCGCAGUGUGUCGACUACAGAGGAGAAGACGCUCACGUAUCACCGCAUCAUCGAGGCUUUCCACUUCGCCUUCGCUAUGAGGAGCAGGCUGGGAGAUCCUCACUACCUCAACAUCACUGACCUCAUCCACAACAUGACCUCAGACUACUUUGCCGAUAACAUCCGCAGUAAGAUCACAGAUAACACCACGCACCCAGAGAGUUUCUAUGGGCCGGAAUACUUUAACUCUGAGGAUCAUGGGACGGCUCACCUGUCCAUCAUCGCUGAGGAUGGGAGCGCCGUGGCUGUGACCAGCAGCAUCAACCUGCAGUUUGGUUCUAAAGUGAUGUCACGUUCCACUGGAAUCAUCUUUAACGAUAUGAUGGAUGACUUCAGUUCUCCAAACAUCCCAAACGCAUUCGGCAUUCCUCCUUCUCGUAGUAACUUCAUCCAGCCAGGUAAAAGGCCGCUCUCGUCCAUGAGCCCAACCAUCAUCUGCGACAAACACAACAAAGUUAAAAUGGUCGUGGGAGCUGCAGGUGGGACGAAGAUCACCACGGCAACGGCUCUGGUAACACACACAGCUUUAACCUUAAAAGGUGAUCCUGAACACUCUGUUCUUUAACUACGAUCUGAAGAGAGCUGUAGAGGAACCCAGAUUCCACAACCAGCUCAACCCCAACGACACCGUGCUGGAACAGGACUUCGAGAAGAGUGUUAAAGAUGGACUAGAGCAGAAGAAUCAUGUGAUAAAGUGGUUGGAGGGUACUCCUUCGGUGGUUCAGGCCGUGGUGAGGCAGGAUGAUCAGAUCUGUGCUGAAUCGGACCCACGGAAAGGAGGAUAUCCCGCCG